UACAGAGGUCCCAAGCGUUGUUCGGAUUCACUGGGCGUAAAGGGUGCGUAGGUGGUGAGGUAAGUCGGAUGUGAAAUCUCCGGGCUCAACCCGGAAACUGCAUUGGAAACUACCUUGCUUGAGGAUUUGAGGGGGGAUUGGAAUACUUGGUGUAGCAGCGAAAUGCGUAGAUAUCAAGUGGAACACCAGUGGCGAAGGCGAAUCCCUGGAAAAUACCUGACACUGAGGCACGAAAGCUAGGGGAGCAAACAGG
rnacentral:rRNA from 1 species